UCAGUCAGUUCCCUUAAUUGGGCUCUUAAUUCUUAAAAAGUGUCAUUAGUUUGAUUAGUUUAUGACGUCAGCAGUGAACUGUGUUGAUGUGGUUCAGAGAGAGAAAGCAGUGUCUGUGGUGUUUGUGCUGGUCUGGUGUUUUCAGAUGAUGGGUCUGUUUGGUCUGUUAGGAGGUUUUCACAUCUACAUGAGACACACGUCAGGAAAGAAACAGGAAGAUCAGAAACUGAGAAUGAGAAGAUUUAGAGAACGACAUGAACACACAGCAGAAGAUUCAUGAGAUCAGCAGCAGAUCAUCACAUCUAUGAGAAAUGAUUCAUAAUGUCACAGAUUCUCACAUGAAUCCAGCUUCACCUGUUGACAACAGGAGAUCCUACAGAAUAAAGCCAGGAGACAAUUUUGACAGUUUUAUUUAUGAAUCUCUUCUUUAAUUAGAUUUUUUUUUUUUUUUUUUUUUUUUAUUUUAUUGCUUUAUUUUUUUCAUCAUCACAUCUGGCAGAUUGUAAAGUCAUUCUAUGUGUUUAUUUUCCGUAUCUUCUAGAAAUUGGUUUAUGUCACGCUUCUGCUGUUGCUCUUUUACUUUAUUCUGUUGGUUUUGGUUGAUUUCUUUCAUAUGCAGUGUCUGUUGUUUUAUGUUUAUCUGUUUGACUCUUGAUGCGUGUCUCAGUUUUGCGGUGUCUGGUGUUUUUUUUUUUUUUUCUUUACUGUUUUUAAACUUCUGUUUGCAUGUGCAUUUUUAUUUUAACACGUUUAACCACAUUUGUGCAGUUUUCAUCACAAGAUCUUUGUGUCUUUAUAAAAUACUGAAAACAUGUCGUUCUUUAAGAAUUGUAAAUGGAGUCAACUCU